UACCAGCACCCCGAGCGGUCGGGACGAUUAUUGGGCCUAAAGCAUCCGUAGCCGGUCCUACAAGUCUUCCGUUAAAUCCACCUGCUUAACAGAUGGGCUGCGGAAGAUACUAUAGGGCUAGGAGGCGGGAGAGGCAAGCGGUACUCAGUGGGUAGGGGUAAAAUCCUCUGAUCCAUUGAAGACCACCAGUGGCGAAGGCGGCUUGCCGGAGCGCGCUCGACGGUGAGGGAUGAAAGCUGGGGGAGCAAACCGG
rnacentral:rRNA from 1 species